rnacentral:rRNA from 1 species
GAUGAACGCUAGCGGCAGGCCUAACACGUGCAAGUCGAGGGAGAAGCCCUUUCGGGGGCAGACACCGGCGCACGGGUGCGUAACGCGUAUGCAACCUACCUUUCACAGGGGGAUAGCCCGAAGAAAUUUGGAUUAAUACCCCAUCAUAUUAUUGGAUGGCAUCAUUUGAUAAUUAAAACUGCGGUGGUGAAAGAUGGGCAUGCGUCCUAUUAGCUAGUUGGAGUGGUAACGGCACCCCAAGGCUACGAUAGGUAGGGGUCCUGAGAGGGAGAUCCCCCACACUGGUACUGAGACAGGGACCAGACUCCUACGGGAGGCAGCAGUGAGGAAUAUUGGUCAAUGGUCGGAAGACUGAACCAGCCAUGCCGCGUGCAGGAAGAAUGCCUUAUGGGUUGUAAACUGCUUUUAGAUGGGAAGAAUAAGGCGUACGUGUACGUUGAUGACGGUACCAUAUGAAUAAGCAUCGGCUAACUCCGUG